rnacentral:sRNA from 1 species
UUAUUUCUAUCGGGUCGGGCAUGGUGGCUCAUGCCUGUAAUCCCAGCACUUUGGGGGGCCGAGGCGGGCAGAUCACAAGGUCAGGAGUUCGAGACCAGCCUGGGCAACAUGGUGAAACCCCGUCUCUACUAAAAAUACAAAAAUUAGUCUGUCGUGGCAGUGCGUGCCUGCAUUCCCAGCUACUCGGGAGGCCGAGGCAGGAGAAUCACUUGAACCCGGGAGGUGGAGGUUGCAGGGAGCAGAGAUCGUGCCACUACACUCCAGCCUGGGUGACAGAGCAAGAUUUUGUCUCAGGGUGGCGGGGGAAAUUCUGUAAUGACAGAUUUAUAUUUUGUUUUGAAGAGAGUUGCGUCCCUUACAGCAAGAGUUUAUCGGACAGAGACGUAUAGGGUAUAUUUUGAAUUUGAGAUGAACUCUGCUUUCAUUUAAGAAGACGACUCAUCUUUUUCCUGCUCCCCCCGCAGAAUUCCCAUUUGCAGAAACCCUAUGAGAUUAACCUGAUGGAGGAACUAACUCUGAAGGGAGUAACCCAGUACUACGCAUAUGUAACUGAGCGCCAAAAAGUACACUGCCUCAACACACUUUUCUCCAGGCUUCAGAUAAACCAGUCGAUCAUUUUCUGUAACUCCUCUCAGCGAGUUGAAUUGCUAGCCAAGAAGAUUUCUCAACUGGGUUAUUCUUGCUUCUAUAUUCAUGCUAAAAUGAGGCAGGAACAUCGAAAUCGUGUAUUUCAUGAUUUCCGAAAUGGCUUAUGCCGCAAUCUUGUUUGCACUGAUCUGUUUACCCGAGGUAUUGAUAUACAAGCUGUGAAUGUGGUAAUAAACUUUGAUUUCCCAAAGCUGGCAGAGACCUAUCUCCAUCGUAUUGGAAGAUCAGGUCGCUUUGGUCAUCUUGGCUUAGCCAUCAACUUGAUCACAUAUGAUGAUCGCUUCAACCUGAAAAGUAUUGAGGAGCAGCUGGGAACAGAAAUUAAACCUAUUCCGAGCAACAUUGAUAAGAGCCUGUAUGUGGCAGAAUACCACAGCGAGCCUGUAGAAGAUGAGAAACCUUAACAAGCAUGCUUUGACAAAUUACAAAAGGCUCGUUUGGAUCUGUGACACAUCGUUUUGGGGGGAAUGCUCUUCUCUUUGUGGGUUUUUCAUCUUUUAUUUUGGAACUAUGAAGACUUAAAAGAGCUCAGACAUUUUCUUUUUUUAACUGGUGAAGAGAAAAAGGCUGAAAAGAAGGAAUAUACCUUUUUUGUUCCACUUGUUUGCACUGUGUGCUGACUGAACAUUAGUUGCACUAACUGCUGGUUUUUUAAAAAUGUUUUCUGGGGAAAGGGGACAAGGAAGGAAAAGAAAGAAGAGAAGGGGAGAAACCCUAAAAAGAGAAGAAUCUUAAUGAACACACAAGCUUGUCAAUGAUUUCAAAAUUCUCCAACAGCUGACUCUCGUGCAUUUCAACUUCUCCCUGAUUCCUCAUCCGUUUUUUAAGCCUGAAGAGCUUAUUACUUAUUUGUGCGAAGUGCCUUAUGCUAUGAGACCAUUCAGAAUAUCAUCUUUUAGACACAGCCCGAGGAAUCAACAAUAGUAACUCUUUCCUUUUUUCUUUUUCUUUUAAAAAAUGUCUUUUCAUUUUGGUUUCAGGUUGAAGUCUCUUCCCUUUCUACCCAGUACUCGAGCCCAGGGCUAGAAGUUGAAACUUACUAGUAAUGUUAAACACCAUUUUUUUUUCUUUUUGUGGAGGAGUUGAUAUGCAACUGCAGUUCAUCCGCACUGUAAAUACAUGUAUUUAAAAAAAC